AGCGAGGGCAUAGCAGGUUCAGGGGAGGGGGCAGGAAGGGGUAAAGUGGGGGCAGAGCCUGUGGCAGAGCCGGGGUUGAGCCCCCCCCUGCACAUUGGAAAGGUGGCUCCUGUAGCUCCAGCCCCGGAGUUGGUGCCUAUACAAGGAGUUGCAUAUUAACUUCUGAAGAGCCACAUGUGGCUCCGGAGCCACAUGCAUGGAUUGGAAGAA